rnacentral:lncRNA from 1 species
CAAAGCUCGUGCUAAGGGCUUUUCCCCUGACCACCCCCCUUCUUACAUCUCACAUUCUGGCACUGCAGCAAAGGCAGCCAUAAGCCCCCUUUAAGGGGCACAGUUGGAGGAAAGUGUGUGUUCGUUGCUGGGAGAUAGACAAGGAAGACGUGAUAGGUGCUCACUAGGCAUACCCGCCUAGCAGGUAGAAACGAGCAGCUGGAUGAACACCCAGAGUAGUUAAGUCCUAUAAACCCAGCAGGGUGGGCAAAUUCUGGAUGAGACCCAAGUGGAGGCUGUGAUGUUACACCACGCCCAUUAUCUACAACACAAGUCACCACUGCGCGUCCUUGCAAGGAUCCGAUUCAAAGAAUGUCAAUAUUAUAGAAGGCUUAGCUAUGGAGGACAGGAAACGCUGAGACCCUUUCUGAGUUUGCCUGAAAUCUAGAACACCUCAAGAGAUAGAAAGUCUAACCCAGUGCCCCCCAUCCCCCCAAAAAACCCAUAAGGAAUCCUUAGUUCAGAACAAACAAAGGCGGCAUCUUCCAGACCCCCCCCCCCCCCGCGAAGGACGGCAAGGCAGAAGCUCAGGAGAAAAGGCUGGAGUGG